rnacentral:sRNA from 1 species
UAAAGCUGACUUAAAGUAAUAGCUAGUUAUAUUGCACAGGUGAGCAAUGUGGCCGAUGAGCCUCCUAUUAAUAUUUACAUUUACGAUUUAAAAUAUAUUAUGCCACUCUAAGCUUUGGAUGAUAAGCUUCCUCUUUGAAAAUGAGUCAUUUUUGAUCUUAAUGAUGUGUGCAUUUUAAGUCACUGUUCACUGAAGAAUGUUAUAUGAUACAAUUGUGAUACAUUGCACUUUUAGCAAUAAGAGUAUUCAAGUUUAUGCUAGUAUGAUUUAUUCAUUGUAGUGUGUAAUACCAGUAAAAAUUAUAUGAAAGUUUUAAUGAAAGAAUAAUUGUUUCAUCUUUAAAUAUUUGACAAUGAUAUUAUUUGAGCAAGUUGAGAUGAUGUGUUGUAUUGCUUGUUUAAUGUUUAAGUAGUUUACAUGUCCAUGUAUUUGAUUGAAUGGCGGAUAUAUGUGACUACAUGUAUAUACUUAAGUUGCUUUAUCUGAUUGUUUUCAACUCUAUUAAAUGUUAUCAUCAAUGAU